ACGGGAGGCAGCAGUCGGGAAUAUUGCGCAAUGGAGGAAACUCUGACGCAGUGACGCCGCGUAUAGGAAGAAGGUUUUCGGAUUGUAAACUAUUUUAGACAGGGAAGAACAAAGACAGUACCUGUAGAAUAAGCUCCGGCUAACUACGUGCCAGCAGCCGCGGUAAUACGUAGGGAGCAAGCGUUAUCCGGAUUUAUUGGGUGUAAAGGGUGCGUAGACGGGAAAGCAAGUUAGUUGUGAAAGCCCUCGGCUCAACUGAGGAACUGCAACUAAAACUACAUUUCUUGAGUACAGGAGAGGAAAGCGGAAUUCCUAGUGUAGCGGUGAAAUGCGUAGAUAUUAGGAGGAACACCAGUGGCGAAGGCGGCUUUCUGGACUGCAACUGACGUUGAGGCACGAAAGUGUGGGGAGCAAACAGGAUUAGAUACCCUGGUA
rnacentral:rRNA from 1 species